ACCUCGGAUCAGGUAGGAAGACCCGCUGAACUUAAGCAUAUCAAUAAGCGGAGGAAAAGAAACCAACAGGGAUUGCCCUAGUAACGGCGAGUGAAGCGGCAACAGCUCAAAUUUGAAAUCUGGCUUCGGCCCGAGUUGUAAUUUGCAGAGGAAGCUUUAGGCGCGGCACCAUCUGAGUCCCCUGGAACGGGGCGCCAUAGAGGGUGAGAGCCCCGUAUAGAUGGACGCCUAGCCUGUGUAAAGCUCCUUCGACGAGUCGAGUAGUUUGGGAAUGCUGCUCAAAAUGGGAGGUAAAUUUCUUCUAAAGCUAAAUAUUGGCCAGAGACCGAUAGCGCACAAGUAGAGUGAUCGAAAGAUGAAAAGCACUUUGAAAAGAGGGUUAAAUAGCACGUGAAAUUGUUGAAAGGGAAGCGCUUGUGACCAGACUUGCGCCGGGCGGAUCAUCCGGUGUUCUCACCGGUGCACUCCGCCCGGCUCAGGCCAGCAUCGGUUCUCGCGGGGGGAUAAAGGCCCUGGGAAUGUAGCUCCUCCGGGAGUGUUAUAGCCCGGGGCGUAAUGCCCUCG
rnacentral:rRNA from 1 species